CAUGUACACUACUGCCUAAAGGUUUUGGCAGCGGGCUGCGGGCGCGGGCAAGCUACUCGCGGGUCGCGUAUUUUUUUUGAGUGUCAAUUGCCAAAAAUGUGAGCAAGUUCGGGCAGAUUUCGGGCAGAUUUCGGGCAGAUUUCGGGCAGAUUUCGGGCAGAUUUCGGGCAGAUUUCGGGCAGAUUUCGGGCUGAUUUCGGGCAGAUUUCGGGCGCGACUCGAACAUCGGGCGCGACCCGAACAUCGUUUCUUCAGCUACGCGCUUCGGGCAUCGGGUCAGCCCGCUGCCAAAACCUUUAGGCAGUAGUGU